GCGGAUAUGGUGAAAUUGGUAGACACGAUAGCUUGAGGGGCUAUUGGGAGCAAUCUCGUGCAGGUUCAAAUCCUGUUAUCCGUACCA
rnacentral:tRNA from 1 species